AUAAAGUUGGCAGAAUAUAUGUGAGUGAGUUAGGUUCAUUUUAUAAGAUACUAUUUCUUACUUUAUA
rnacentral:tRNA from 1 species